GAUCUAGUUGCAUUUUGGAGAAGCCCCGGAGCAUGCUUUCUUUGGCAGCAUGGAUUAUGGAUUUCGCUCAAAGGGGAAAGUACCUUUUUUUUUGUCACAGUUGCCUCUUUCUAGUUAGAGGCAGCUGCUAACGUCAGCUAGCUACAGCUAGCUAUCCUCUUCCUCUGUGUCUGAAUUAAUUUGUGGCUAUUUCUUUCUAGCGAGCUAAUUUUCCCCCAACUUCGGACACCCCCUGACUUCGGACACUCUAGCGGUUGGAGGACUAAAUCACCUCCAGCUCAAAAUUAAUGGACUGGAAAAUAACGAUAAAGUCAAAAGGAAGCAAUGGAGUGAGGUGGACAUCUUCCAUGCCGUGAAGGACUUUGYGGAUGGGAUGGCUAUCCACCAAGCUGUCAAGGUGUAUGGUGUAUCUCGGAAGACCCUGACAGACACUCUGAGCGGCCAGAUGACCCAUGGUUGUCGCAGUGGACCACCCACAUUGCUUGCACCAGAGGAUGAAAAUUCUCUGGUGCAGUACUAUAUCUACUGCGCUAGCCAUGGGUUUCCUUUCACCAGACAACGGCUGAUGAAACAAGCCAACAAAAUAAGCUGGUUUCUGCACCGAGGAGAAACAAUCCCACCACUGGGGAAGAGGUGGUAGGAAAUGUUCAGGAGGAAGCACCAGAACCUGAGCAUGGGGAGGCCAGACACCCUAGACAGUGGGAGAGCUGAGUGUGCCACCCGUCCGAUGAUGGACACCUUCUUCUUGGAGGAGAGUGGGUUGAGGGAGAAACCCAGACAAAUCUAUAACUGCGAUGAGUCUGGGUUUUAUAGCGACCAGAGCAGGCAAAGUCCUGGCUCUCCGGUGUGCAAAACACGUGCACUCCUAUAUGGUAAACAAAUCAGAAUUUGCUAGAGUAUUCUGCUACCUGUACCAGCGCUACUAGGACAUGCUGUAUGUGGUGGAAGGGUCCUUACCUUCCUGAAGUAUCAGCCAGACCGAUACAGAAGACUCCCUGUGGUCGCUACAUGCCCCAGUGGCAGGAGAGGGGUGAGAAGGAGAGGGCAGAUGAGAAUACUGUUGGGCAGCCCUCAGAACAGAGGGCACAGGAGAGGGUUGCCAUGGAUGAGACCAUCGACGCCAUCGCCUAUGCUGAACCCCCCCCCACUGGAACCAUUCCUGCCAGCUGCAUCACCACCGCCCGUGCAACACCUGUAGUAGCCGCCAGAGCCCCCAGCUGCAGGUGGAGGCCACGUGUAUGCUCUCCCGCCACACGGUCGUCGGUUCCUCAAUCCCACCAACACCAGCUUCUCCAAGCCAUCGGCGUCGGGUUUUGUCCACCACCACAAUGCAAACCAGACCCCCCUGUCUGUGAAACCCCGAAACGGCCUCCUCUGGACCAACUGCCUCCUCCAUCUCCCCUGAUCACCGAUACCACAGCAGCCUCAUCUGGUGUCCCUGACCACGGCAAUUUGAAUACAUGCACCUCUACAGCACAGAAAAGGAAGAGAAAAGCUCUACUGGCCACCUGUCACGCCACCCAUUGCACCACCCUCAGUUUUUCAAGUGAAAGAAGACACCACCUGUUGUGCUUGCUGUGGGGAGUAUGAUCCGCCUGCAAGCUCCCCYCAGGAGUGUGAGUCCGAGGUGCCAUGGGGGCCCCAGCACUGGUUCCACUGCAMGUGUGUGCACUGAGAUCCAG